CAGUACUAGGUGCUGGGAAUUCAAUAAAGAGCAAGACUGGCCAGGACACCUGCCUUCUUGGAAUUUACCAUCCAAUUGGAUAGCGGUAUUGUGGGAAGCAGAGAUCCUCAGAGGGUACCAGGAGAUGCUGUCUCAUAGAUGGUGGCUUACUUUGUUUGGAGGUUUGACUUUGCUUUAUUUUAGAAGAUUGGCCUCUGAUGAUGGUGGUUUGGGGUAUAGUGCUUUCAAUAUGAUCUUUACUUGUUUCGUUCUUAAUCAAUUACAUCCUGGGCCAUAACCAAAACCUCCUCUUGGCUAAAACUACAUGAAUGAUCCGUCCCAAAUUGCUUGGAAAAGUCAAGAAGACAAGAACAUGGGCUGCUGUCACCAAUUCAAGUCAGCACUCGAGAAAAACCCAUCAGCGACCUCUGAGGCCAAAUGCCGUGGACUGUGGUCACCUCUUCAUCGCCAGGCUCUGCAGUGGUCCCUGAGGAGCAUUCGUCUAGGUGACUGCCCUGGACAGAGGUCUCUUCUUCGGGGUGAUGACAUCUUUGCAGGGACUGAGCUAGCAUCUCAUACCAAGAAUUUAGAUCUAAAAUGAAAGGCACUUAGAGGGGAGGUUUGCACAAGUCUUUUCCAAAAACAUCAGUUACAGACAUGCAGAGAAGCUCCUGAUGGGGAGACGUGGGAACUGCAGGCUGAUUGGACACUCUCCCCAGUGAUUUCUGCACAACCUGGGGAAAAGCUGCUCUUGAGACAGCGCUGGCCAAUACAGACCCUGGAGCCCACAGCUGAGAAAUCACCAUUUAACCAGACCCCCCAGGUUAACCUGGCAUUCCACCAGCCUUCCUUCCCUCCACGCCCCAGAGCCUUUCCUCUGGGCCUCCCAACUGUGCAUUCGCUUCCUUGGAGCCUCGGAAACCAGCUUCCAGGAAGAUGCUGAGCCUGGAAAGGGUGGCUACCUGAGGUACCAUGUUUGACCAGCUGUCACUGGGGCUCACUCAUGAAUGCAGUGUGGGCAGAACACGGGCUAUCUCCUAGAUUUCCAGUCGACAGCAUCAUCUACCCCUCCAUCUUCUGGAAACCUAGAUGUGGGGUUUUUUUAUUUACCUUCUGAAGAAAAUCAGUUCCAAGCAUAGAAUUGGCGGGAUUCCUAAAAUCUGUUAAUAUUCAUCCUUCACCAUGUUAUAAAUCUUCUCUAAUGUGUCCCCUUACGAGNNNNNNNNAGACAAAUUUCAUAUUCCUCUCUCCUUCCUCUUCUCCCUUCUUUCUUCUCUUCUGCCUCUUCACCUCCCUCUAGCAGGGGGGGAGUGCAAAGGGGCACGUGGGCCUCCGACUUUCUGUUUGUGCAUAGGAAUUACUCUCAAGGCAACAAUUUUCCCAACAACGAUGUAAUUAUGAAAUAUUACCCAAACACAUUGGGUAUUAUUGAAUGUGCCAUUUCUGGAUCCUGGCCAAAGGCUUUGGCAGAAACGGGACUCAAAGGACGAGAGGAGGGAGAAAAAUUAUGCACACGUCUCCCUUUCCGCCCUGCUGUUGAAUUAAACCACAUGUAAGUUUUGUAGCCGCGCACAGCAGAAAGGAACAGCUCCAAAACACAUGNNNNNNNNNNNNNNNNNNNNNNNNNNNNNNNNNNNNNNNNNNNNNNNNNNNNAUAGAACAUGAAGUCAGGGCAUGUGGAAGUGAUUGAGGGCCGCUGCCAUGUACAGUAAGAGCUGUUAAUCAGCGCCUCACUACUGGCUGCUUGGAGACAGGAUUUGAGUAAACAUGGAGCUCUGCUCAAUCACUGAGCUGAGGGUCAUGAGGACCCCGGUGUCAGGGAACCCAUUUACCCUUGGGAUGGAGGUAGAGUUAAUGACACGACAAAUUCCUUAGCAAAGCAAACCCCAGAUGGAUGCUAGAGCAGAAACCUCAUCCACAGGGUAGUAAUUACAUGUGCUCAGGGCUCCGAGGAGUCCUGGCACUUUUUCCAGCCUCGAGUACCAAGCCAUCGCCAAGAAGCACCCCCAAAGCUAGGGUGUGUACGAUCUCCUUAUAUUUCAGUCAUUCACCCAUUGGUUCAUUUAUGAAUGCCUUCAUACAUACGUUCAAGCAGUACUGAUUGGACAACUACUAUGAACACUUACUGUGGACCGUGUAAGAAUCUGAUCUCUACUCUGAGAAGACCUACUACCUAACGAACACAGAAAACCUAUCAUUACAAGCAGCUAAAUUAACAAUAGAAGACAUGGGCUCUCCCUUGCUCUCUCUUCGAAAGGUCAAAGCAAUGCGGAUAGUAGUGACUAGAGGACGUGGCCACCACUGUGAGCCUCCUCAACAAGCCCGGGAGGCAGAUGACCCUGGAGGAGCUGCAGCAGUGGGGGGGAGGAGGAGCUGAACGUCAGGCCA
rnacentral:lncRNA from 1 species